rnacentral:rRNA from 1 species
GUGGGGAAUAUUGGACAAUGGGGGCAACCCUGAUCCAGCAAUGCCGCGUGUGUGAAGAAGGCCUGCGGGUUGUAAAGCACUUUCGGUGGGGAGGAAAAGCUGAGAGCUAAUACCUUUCAGUGUUGACGUUACCCAAAGAAGAAGCACCGGCUAACUCUGUGCCAGCAGCCGCGGUAAUACAGAGGGUGCAAGCGUUAAUCGGAAUUACUGGGCGUAAAGCGCACGUAGGUGGUUUGAUAAGUCGGAUGUGAAAUCCCUGGGCUCAACCUAGGAAUUGCAUUCGAUACUGUCUGACUAGAGUAUGGUAGAGGGGGGUAGAAUUCCCGGUGUAGCGGUGAAAUGCGUAGAUAUCGGGAGGAAUACCAGUGGCGAAGGCGGCCCCCUGGACCAAUACUGACACUGAGGUGCGAAAGCGUGGGUAGCAAACAGGAUUAGAUACCCGGGUAGUCC